rnacentral:rRNA from 1 species
UUAAGCGACUAAGCGUACACGGUGGAUGCCCUGGCAGUCAGAGGCGAUGAAGGACGUGCUAAUCUGCGAAAAGCGUCGGUAAGGUGAUAUGAACCGUUAUAACCGGCGAUGUCCGAAUGGGGAAACCCAGUGCAAUUCGUUGCACUAUCGUUAACUGAAUACAUAGGUUAACGAGGCGAACCGGGGGAACUGAAACAUCUAAGUACCCCGAGGAAAAGAAAUCAACCGAGAUUCCCCCAGUAGCGGCGAGCGAACGGGGAGCAGCCCAGAGUCUGAAUCAGCUUGUGUGUUAGUGGAACGGUCUGGAAAGUCCGACGGUACAGGGUGAUAGUCCCGUACACCAAAAUGCACAGGCUGUGAACUCGAAGAGUAGGGCGGGACACGUGGUAUCCUGUCUGAAUAUGGGGGGACCAUCCUCCAAGGCUAAAUACUCCUGACUGACCGAUAGUGAACCAGUACCGUGAGGGAAAGGCGAAAAGAACCCCGGCGAGGGGAGUGAAAAAGAACCUGAAACCGUGUACGUACAAGCAGUGGGAGCACCUUCGGGUGUGACUGCGUACCUUUUGUAUAAUGGGUCAGCGACUUAUAUUCUGUAGCAAGGUUAACCGUAUAGGGGAGCCGCAGGGAAACCGAGUCUUAACUGGGCGUUAAGUUGCAGGGUAUAGACCCGAAACCCGGUGAUCUAGCCAUGGGCAGGUUGAAGGUUGGGUAACACUAACUGGAGGACCGAACCGACUAAUGUUGAAAAAUUAGCGGAUGACUUGUGGCUGGGGGUGAAAGGCCAAUCAAACCGGGAGAUAGCUGGUUCUCCCCGAAAGCUAUUUAGGUAGCGCCUCGUGAACUCAUCUUCGGGGGUAGAGCACUGUUUCGGCUAGGGGGUCAUCCCGACUUACCAACCCGAUGCAAACUACGAAUACCGAAGAAUGUUAUCACGGGAGACACACGGCGGGUGCUAACGUCCGUCGUGAAGAGGGAAACAACCCAGACCGCCAGCUAAGGUCCCAAAGUCAUGGUUAAGUGGGAAACGAUGUGGGAAGGCACAGACAGCCAGGAUGUUGGCUUAGAAGCAGCCAUCAUUUAAAGAAAGCGUAAUAGCUCACUGGUCGAGUCGGCCUGCGCGGAAGAUGUAACGGGGCUAAACCAUGCACCGAAGCUGCGGCAGCGACACUAUGUGUUGUUGGGUAGGGGAGCGUUCUGUAAGCCUGCGAAGGUGUGCUGUGAGGCAUGCUGGAGGUAUCAGAAGUGCGAAUGCUGACAUAAGUAACGAUAAAGCGGGUGAAAAGCCCGCUCGCCGGAAGACCAAGGGUUCCUGUCCAACGUUAAUCGGGGCAGGGUGAGUCGACCCCUAAGGCGAGGCCGAAAGGCGUAGUCGAUGGGAAACAGGUUAAUAUUCCUGUACUUGGUGUUACUGCGAAGGGGGGACGGAGAAGGCUAUGUUAGCCGGGCGACGGUUGUCCCGGUUUAAGCAUGUAGGCUGGUUAUCCAGGCAAAUCCGGAUAAUCAAGGCUGAGGUGUGAUGACGAGGCACUACGGUGCUGAAGUAACAAAUGCCCUGCUUCCAGGAAAAGCCUCUAAGCAUCAGGUAACAUCAAAUCGUACCCCAAACCGACACAGGUGGUCAGGUAGAGAAUACCAAGGCGCUUGAGAGAACUCGGGUGAAGGAACUAGGCAAAAUGGUGCCGUAACUUCGGGAGAAGGCACGCUGGUGUGUAGGUGAAGCCCCUGCGGGUGGAGCUGAGACCAGUCGAAGAUACCAGCUGGCUGCAACUGUUUAUUAAAAACACAGCACUGUGCAAACACGAAAGUGGACGUAUACGGUGUGACGCCUGCCCGGUGCCGGAAGGUUAAUUGAUGGGGUUAUCCGUAAGGAGAAGCUCUUGAUCGAAGCCCCGGUAAACGGCGGCCGUAACUAUAACGGUCCUAAGGUAGCGAAAUUCCUUGUCGGGUAAGUUCCGACCUGCACGAAUGGCGUAAUGAUGGCCAGGCUGUCUCCACCCGAGACUCAGUGAAAUUGAACUCGCUGUGAAGAUGCAGUGUACCCGCGGCAAGACGGAAAGACCCCGUGAACCUUUACUAUAGCUUGACACUGAACAUUGAGCCUUGAUGUGUAGGAUAGGUGGGAGGCUUUGAAGUGUGGACGCCAGUCUGCAUGGAGCCAACCUUGAAAUACCACCCUUUAACGUUUGAUGUUCUAACCUAGGCCCAUAAACUGGGUCGGGGACCGUGUCUGGUGGGUAGUUUGACUGGGGCGGUCUCCUCCUAAAGAGUAACGGAGGAGCACGAAGGUUGGCUAAGCAUGGUCGGACAUCAUGCGGUUAGUGCAAAGGCAUAAGCCAGCUUGACUGCGAGAGUGACGGCUCGAGCAGGUACGAAAGUAGGUCUUAGUGAUCCGGUGGUUCUGAAUGGAAGGGCCAUCGCUCAACGGAUAAAAGGUACUCCGGGGAUAACAGGCUGAUACCGCCCAAGAGUUCAUAUCGACGGCGGUGUUUGGCACCUCGAUGUCGGCUCAUCACAUCCUGGGGCUGAAGUAGGUCCCAAGGGUAUGGCUGUUCGCCAUUUAAAGUGGUACGCGAGCUGGGUUUAGAACGUCGUGAGACAGUUCGGUCCCUAUCUGCCGUGGGCGUUGGAAGAUUGAGAGGGGUUGCUCCUAGUACGAGAGGACCGGAGUGAACGCACCACUGGUGUUCGGGUUGUCAUGCCAAUGGCAUUGCCCGGUAGCUAAGUGCGGAAGAGAUAACCGCUGAAAGCAUCUAAGCGGGAAACUUGCCUCGAGAUGAGUCUUCCCUGUCACUUUAAGUGACCUAAAGGAACGUUUAAGACUAAGACGUUGAUAGGCUGGGUGUGUAAGCGUAGCGAUACGUUGAGCUAACCAGUACUAAUGAACCGUGAGGCUUAACCUG